rnacentral:lncRNA from 1 species
AAAAGGUAAAAGUAAAAGGUUAAAUUACAUAAUUUUCCGCUUUUUAAUUUUUUCUUUUUUGACUUUCAAAGUUUAUAUUUUAUCAAUUUAAAAUUUUAAAAAUAAUUUUUAAAAAAUACGGCAUUAAUAGAGAGGGUAAAAUAACCAAAUUAUCCUUACUUAUUCUAUACAAAAUAAUUUUUUAAUAUAUUUUUGCCAUUUUAAAAGAUAUUUUUUGUAUAAAUUAUAAUAAAUGAACAGAAUAAUAAGAGUAUUCUUAUAGAAGGGAACCGAAUGUAAUAACUUGAAAUAUUGAGAGGUAAGAUAUAGAUUUUUUAAAAUUAAAGAGAAAAAAUUUAAAAAACAAGUAUUUAUAAAAAAGUUUUUUAUAAUUUAGUCAAAGAAAAAAAAUGAUAUUUUUUUUCUUUUAAAUAAAUUGCAUAUGAUGACUAAUAUAUAGCGCAAUUUUUCUAUAAUAGAUAGAAUAUAUCUACACUGUUUACUAUGAACGUUCACCGAUAAACAUGGCAUCAUUAUACUUCUUUUAUAUAUAUAUAUUUUUUUACAUUGUAAUAAUUUAGGCUAUUUUUAAUUUUUUAUAAUAUUUAAUUUUAUAUUUGGAAAGAAUAAUUUGAUUAACAAUUAAAUUUGUGG